rnacentral:rRNA from 1 species
GACGAACGCUGGCGGCGUGCUUAACACAUGCAAGUCGAACGGUGAAGCGCCUUCCUUUUUGGUGGGUGUGGAUGAGUGGCGAACGGGUGAGUAACACGUGAGUAACCUGCCCCCUUCUUCUGGAUAACCGCAUGAAAGUGUGGCUAAUACGGGAUAUUCUGGGUCUGUCGCAUGAUGGGUCUGGGAAAGAUAUUGUUUCGGUGGGGGAUGGGCUCGCGGCCUAUCAGCUUGUUGGUGGGGUGAUGGCCUACCAAGGCGGUGACGGGUAGCCGGCCUGGGAGGGUGGACGGUCACACUGGGACUGAGACACGGCCCAGACUUCUACGGGAGGCAGCAGUGGGGAAUAUUGCACAAUGGGCGCAAGCCUGAUGCAGCGACGCCGCGUGAGGGAUGGAGGCCUUCGGGUUGUGAACCUCUUUCGCCAGUGAAGCAGGCCUGCCUCGUUUGUGGGUGGGUUGACGGUAGCUGGAUAAGAAGCGCCGGCUAACUACGUG